rnacentral:rRNA from 1 species
UACAGAGGAGCCAAGCGUUGUCCGGAUUGACUGGGCGUAAAGCGCACGCAGGCGGAUGCGCGCGUGGGGUGUGAAAUCUGGCCGCUUAACGGCCAGGCGCCAUCCCAUACGGCGCGUCUGGAGUGAUGCAGAGGUCGAUGGAAUUGCCGGUGUAGUGGUGAAAUGCGUAGAGAUGUGGAGGAAUACAGAUGGCGAAGGCAGCCCCCUGGGAUAACACUGACGCUCAUGCACGAAAGCGUGGGGAGCAAACAGG